rnacentral:tRNA from 1 species
AACAACGAAGCCUUCACUUUCUUUAAGUUUGCAACUUAACGUUUUUAAUAAACUACCGCUGU